UACCUAUGAAGAUGCGGACUACCUGCACCUGCACUUGGACAGAAAGACACUAUGAAUCUUCAUUGAUCCUUGGGAUUGGCUUUGGGCCUUUCAUGCGCAACUUAUGUAAAAGGCGACGAAGGCCUCCUUCCGGGGGCGGGGCGAGCCAUCAGUGAGAUAUCACUUUGGAAGGCCAACAUUUUAACCUUGUGUUCUAUAAGGCGUAAGCCUAAAGGGUAACAGAGGCAUGCAAAGGUUUCCUUGGGCUAGACGAAGAUUGGCCCUCAAGUGCAAAGGCAGAAAGGAGUUUGACUGCUAAACCCACCCAUCGAGCAGGGAUGAAAGUCGGCCUUAGUGAUUCGAUGGUGUCGAGUGGAAGGGCCAUCACUCAACUGAUAAAAGUUACUCUAGAGAUAACAUACUGAUCUUCCCUGAGAUCUUAUAUCGACGAGAAGGAUUGACACUUCGAUGUCGGGUCUUCGCCACCUAGGGUUGUAGUAUGUUCCAAGGGUUGGAUUGUUUGCCCGCUAAAGAGGUACGUGAGCUGGGUUCAGAACGUCGUGAGAUAGUUAGGUCCAUAUCUGGUGAGGGCGUUAGAGCGUUGAGAGGAUCUUUCCAUUGUACGAGAGGACAAGAAAGGACGCACCUUUAGUGUACCAGUUAUCAUACCCACGGUAAACGUUGGGUAGCCAAGUGCGGAGCAGAUAACUGCUGAAAGCAUCUUAGUAGUAAGCCCACCCCAAGAAGAGUGCUCUCAUAUUCCAACUUCCCCAGAUCUUCCAGUAGCACAACCGAGACAAUGAUGGGUUCUCUGCCCCUGUGAGGAUGGAGCGACAUAAGUUGUUUUGUGAAUUCAAGAGAAGGUCACGGCGAGACGAGUCGUUUAUCAUUGCGAUAGGUGUCAAGUGGAAAUGCAGUGAUGUGUGCAGCUGAGGCAUCCUAACAGACGGG
rnacentral:ncRNA from 1 species